GUGGGGAAUCUUAGACAAUGGGCGCAAGCCUGAUCUAGCCAUGCCGCGUGAGCGAUGAAGGCCUUAGGGUUGUAAAGCUCUUUCGUGGGGGAAGAUAAUGACUGUACCCCAAGAAGAAGCCCCGGCUAACUCCGUGCCAGCAGCCGCGGUAAUACGGAGGGGGCUAGCGUUGUUCGGAAUUACUGGGCGUAAAGCGCACGUAGGCGGACUGGAAAGUCAGGGGUGAAAUCCCGGGGCUCAACCCCGGAACUGCCUUUGAAACUCCCAGGCUUGAGUUCGAGAGAGGUGAGUGGAAUUCCGAGUGUAGAGGUGAAAUUCGUAGAUAUUCGGAGGAACACCAGUGGCGAAGGCGGCUCACUGGCUCGAUACUGACGCUGAGGUGCGAAAGCGUGGGGAGCAAACAGGAUUAGAAACCCUUGUAGUCC
rnacentral:rRNA from 1 species